rnacentral:lncRNA from 1 species
UCAACUUUCUCUUUUGCUGUAAUAUUAAAUGGAGGAUCAUCUUCGUUCUUCACAGCUUCAAGAGGAUUGAGGCAAGGUGACUCACUAUCACUGUUGCUAUUCAUCAUUGUGAUGGAAGCAUUUAGCAGAUUUUUGGAAUGAGUGAGAGAACUUAAUUUGAUCAAAAGGUUAUAGUUGGUAAAGGAAAUUCUAGAGAGGAGAUUU